rnacentral:rRNA from 1 species
UAGGCCUAUAGUUUGAGCCUGUGCUCAGUAGCUCUCGUAACCGUGUCCCCGUAUAGUUUUAGUGGCGGACCGGUGAGGAAUACAUCGGAAUCUACUUUUUCGUGGGGGAUAACGUAGGGAAACUUACGCUAAUACCGCAUACGACCUACGGGUGAAAGCACGGGAUCUUCGGACCUUGCGCGAUUGAAUGAGCCGAUGUCUGAUUAUCUAGUUGGCGGGGUAAAGGCCCACCAAGGCGACAAUCCGUAGCUGGUCUGAGAGGAUGAUCACCCACACUGGAACUGAGACACGGUCCACACUCCUACGGGAGGCAGCAGUGGGGAAUAUUGGACAAUGGGCGCAAGCCUGAUCCACCCAUACCGCGUGGGUGAAAAAAGCCUUCGGGUUGUAAAGCCCUUUUGUUGGGAAAGAAAUCCAGCUGGUUAAUACCCGGUUGGGAUGACGGUACCCAAAGAAUAAGCACCGGCUAACUUCUUGCCAGCACCCGCGGUAAUACAAAAGGUGCAAGCGUUACUCGGAAUUACUGGGCGUAAAGCGUGCGUAUGUGGUCGUUUAAAUCCCUUGUGAAAACCCUGGGCUCUACCUGGGAACUGCACUGGAUACUGGGCGACUACAAGUGGUAUAGGGUAGCGGAAUUCCUGGUGUAUCACUGAAAUGCGUAUAAUCACGAGGAACAUCUAUGGCGAAAGCGCUCCCUGUACCACCACUGACACUC